ensembl:snRNA U6 U6 spliceosomal RNA
GUGCUCGCCUUGGCAGCACAUAUACUAAAAAUUGGAAUGAUACGGAGAUUAGCAUGGCCCCUGCACAAGGAUGACACGCAAAUUCGUGAAGCGUCCCAUAUUUUU